ACUUCCCGUUCGGGGGCGAGUAGAGCGGCGAACUGGUGAGUAACACGUGGGAACCUGUCCCUUUUUGUGAAGAAUAACAUCGGGAAACUGAUGCUAAUGCUGCAUGAGUCCCUUCGGGGAGAAAGGUAGCUUUAUGCUACCGCAAGAGGAUGGGCCUGCGUACUAUUAGCUAGAUGGUGGGGUAAAGGCCUACCAUGGCUGCGAUGGUUAAUCGGCCUGAGAGGGUGUACGAUCACAUUGGAACUGAGAUACGGUCCAGACUCCUACGGGAGGCAGCAGUGGGGAAUAUUGCGCAAUGGACGAAAGUCUGACGCAGCGACGCCACGUGAAGGAUGAAGGUCUUCGGAUCGUAAACUUCUGUUAAGUGGGACGAAAUACUGGUUUAUCCAGGGAUGACGGUACCACUAAAGAAAGCACCGGCUAACUUCGUG
rnacentral:rRNA from 1 species